rfam:Gossypium arboreum cultivar AKA8401 contig_47865_3, whole genome shotgun sequence.
AUACCAUGAUGAGGGCAUUUUCGUAAUAGUUCUUUAAAUUUUUCCCACGCCUCAUACAAGGACUCAUCAUUCAUCUGUUGAAAAGUAGUGAUUUCAUUUUGUAACU